GGGGUUGUGGCUCAACGGUAGAGUGCUUACCUUGCAUGUGUGAGGAUCUGGGUUUGAUCCUCAGCACCACA
rnacentral:tRNA from 1 species